GACGAACGCUGGCGGCGUGCUUAACACAUGCAAGUCGAACGGAAAGGCCCUGCUUUUGUGGGGUGCUCGAGUGGCGAACGGGUGAGUAACACUUGAGUAACCUGCCCUUGACUUUUGGAUAACUUCAGGAAACUGGGGCUAAUACCGGAUAGGAGCUCCUGCUGCAUGGUGGGGGUUGGAAAGUUUCGGCGGUUGGGGAUGGACUCGCGGCUUAUCAGCUUGUUGGUGGGGUAGUGGCUUACCAAGGCUUUGACGGGUAGCCGGCCUGAGAGGGUGACCGGCCACAUUGGGACUGAGAUACGGCACAGACUACUACGGGAGGCAGCAGUGGGGAAUAUUGCACAAUGGGCGGAAGCCUGAUGCAGCAACGCCGCGUGCGGGAUGACGGCCUUCGGGUUGUAAACCGCUUUCGCCUGUGACGAAGCGUGAGUGACGGUAAUGGGUAAAGAAGCACCGGCUAACUACGUG
rnacentral:rRNA from 1 species